rnacentral:rRNA from 1 species
GUGUCAGCAGCCGCGGUAAUACGUAGGUGGCAAGCGUUGUCCGGAAUCAUUGGGCGUAAAGGGCUCGCAGGCGGUUCCUUAAGUCUGAUGUGAAAGCCCCCGGCUCAACCGUGGAGGGUCAUUGGAAACUGGAAAACUUGAGUGCAGAAGAGGAAAGUGGAAUUCCAUGUGUAGCGGUGAAAUGCGCAGAGAUAUGGAGGAACACCAGUGGCGAAGGCGACUUUCUGGUCUGUAACUGACGCUGAUGUGCGAAAGCGUGGGGAUCAAACAGGAUUAGAUACCCCAGUAGUCC